CCUUUGGUUCCAUAAGACUAAGAGAACUUACAUGGAUGACUGUGAGCCAGGAACAUGUAUUCAGCCGGAUACAUCAGUAGGCAGGUGCAAAGUGUGUGUGGGAGAUUUCCAUUGGUCUCAGAUGCUAUCUAAUGGCAUUCUUGGCGUUCAGAUUGGUGGAAGCCAGUGGCCUGAAGAACCAAAUUGCACAGGACCGAAGUGGACUCUGGCAACACCUUGGAGGAAAAAUAAAAAAAACCCAACCACGCAUGUUUCAAGGUACCAAGCACAAGGAAUUUAUCCAAUUUAAUUUUCAGCUCUCUCCACAGAUCUUUUUGUAUCUCCUGCACCCAGCAUAGGAUUGUGUGCUUCAGAAGAACAGCAUACAUAUUUAUAGGAUCAGUUCAAGCUUCUAAGCACAGUAGAUAAAGUGAUGAACAAGACAGAUGACUAUCUGCCCUUGUGGUCCAUACACUCAGCUGGGAAGACCUGGUAAACAAAAGUCACAUUGGGGUACAUACAGCCUCUCC
rnacentral:lncRNA from 1 species